CCGGCUGCCGGUUUGGCCGCACUGCGCAUGCUCUCUUCCUGGAGCUCAUCUAGCCCUUGAUAAGAGCAGCGGUCUCUCCCACACACCCAUGCUCCCGCGUGAAGGGCUCUUAGUCCGCCCGGAUGCUGGGCUCCUGCAGUACAGAUUAGAAGCAGUAAUCAGUGAUCAGAGCACAGAUCCCCAAUAUUUGCAGGAAAAGGUCCUUUUUUACCCACUGUGGUUCCUGCGAACUGUGUCCAAGCUGCUUCUGGAAAGUCUGCAUGGCUGUCGGCUAUGGAGCUCAGGAGUAGGAUUGGAAAUUUGGAAAGUAAUUAAAAAAAAAAAAGUUCAAGAUUAAGGAUUUAUUUCCAGCCAGGAGCUCACAGGUUAUUUGACUUUUCUCCUAUUGAGAGGGAGAUGAAGGAAGCCUAGAUGUCUAAUACAAGCAAGCUAUGUAAGAAAUGUGAGUGAUGCAACCUAUUACAUUCCAGCAAUAGAAGCAAGGGGAUUUAAUGACAUACAGCAACAUAAAUCAUAAAAACGCAUACUGAGUGAAAAAAGGUCAAUUCUUUACCAGCUGAGCUACUAGGGAAGCCCUAGCUAUCUAAUGGCAACCUUAAAGAAGAACCUGUCAAAUGAAGAAGCAGAUUGUCAAGAAUGAUAGCUGGAAUUUCUCAGCCUUCAGUGACAGAGUUGACUGAAAACAAGUCAACAGCCAGACAUUGUUUUAAAACUCUUUGAAUGAAUGAACAUGCCUAGCAUUCAAACACAACUAUUGCAAGUUAUGUCAAUAUGACUGAUGUGCAAUUCGUGGCAGAAGGAAUGAUGAGAGUGAGGAGGCUUGACCUACAUUUUUCCAUCCCACAUUCAAGGGAAAGAUGAAUGAUCUGACCAAUGUGAAGAUUCAUCUGACCUGGUUCUUCAAAGUUGCAAGAGAUAAUCACCAGAGUGCUUGUUGGCUGACAGAAACUGAUGUCAGGAAGACCAAUUAAAAUGAAGAGCCAGAGUCAGGAUCCUGAUUCCUUUCCUGCCAUCACGUCCAAAGUAGCCUUUUUCAUGCAUCCAGCAUAUUGUGAAGUGGAGAAGAAACAAGAGCUUAUCAGCCAUCAGAGAAUUGCACCUAAUUGUUCACCUGGCUAAUCAAAGUCUUUCUGAAGAGGUUGUCAAGUGAAAACAAAUAGAAGAGCCCAAAAGCUAGCUGUAGCCAUUGUUUCAACACGGUGGAGGAAAUCUGUCUGAAAGAAUGAGAUGAACAUGGAAAUAUAGACCUGAGAGAUGGUGAUAGAAUCCUCCUGCAGUAGUCUCCAGUGAGUGGCACAAUCCUUACCAUUGCAGUUUGGUCGUGAGGGAUAGUCCAUCACCUUUCUUGCCUAAUCAAGUUUGAGUUGAGUCUCUGUCAUUACACUGAAAGAGUAAUGUCUGAUAUCUUUGCUUGUACCCCAGUAGUUUAUGAUGCCCCUACUCCUGCCUUCACUGCUGGUUACGUCCUUAACCAUCUGCUUUUGGGAGGAGAAAAAUUAUAGAGGCAAAAGUUAAAGAACUGAGUUAGAAAAGAAAAUAUGGACACCUAUACAGGGAAGGCAGGAAGAGUGCUCCUGAGUGGUCAUCAAAGGCUUAGAUGUGAGGCAUUGAAAUUACUAUUAAUUUUUACAAAGUGUUUAAAAUAAAAGCAUCCUAUUCUGGGUAAAAGAGCCAAGGGCUAAUGUUAGGACAACCCUUCAAUUUUACAUAGUGAUUAGUCACCUCAUCCUCUGCGUUCAUGCUAACUUAUAAUCCUAUUGAGUCACAUGCUUAUCUUGUUAUAUCACAAUUUAUCUACCUAGUAGUCAUUGUGCUUCAUUAACCUGUAAUCUUUAGGGAAGCAGAGGUCUUAUUUUAUCUAUAUUCACAUGUUCAGGGUCUAGCAUAUAGCCUACCCCACAGUUGGUGGUUAAUAAUUUUAUGUUCAACG